GAAGAGCCCGCGUCAGAUUAGAUAGUUGGUGAGGUAAUGGCUCACCAAGUCGAUGAUCUGUAACUGGUUUGAGAGGAUGAUCAGUCAGACUGGAACUGAGAAACGGUCCAGACUCCUACGGGAGGCAGCAGUUAGGAAUAUUCCACAAUGGGGGCAACCCUGAUGGAGCAACGCCGCGUGGAGGAUGAAGGCCUUCGGGUUGUAAACUUCUUUUCUAUGCGAAGAAUAUGACGGUAACAUAGGAAUAAGGGUCUGCUAACUACGUGCCAGCAGCCGCGGUCAUACGUAGGACCCAAGCGUUAUCCGGAUUGACUGGGCGUAAAGAGUUGCGUAGGUGGUUUGUUAAGCGAAUGGUGAAAUCUUGUGGCUCAACCAUAAGGCUAUUAUUCGAACUGGCAAACUCGAGAAUGGGAGAGGUAUCUAGAAUUCCUCAUGUAGGGGUAAUAUCCGUAGAUAUGAGGAGG
rnacentral:rRNA from 1 species